rnacentral:misc_RNA from 1 species
GAAAUGCGAUAAGUAAUGUGAAUUGCAGAAUUCCGUGAAUCAUCGAAUCUUUGAACGCACAUUGCGCCCUCUGGUAUUCCGGGGGGCAUGCCUGUCCGAGCGUCAUUGCGAACCCCUCAAGCACGGCUUGUGUGAUGGGCCCUCCCGCGUCUUGGUCGUCAAGACGGGCCCGAAAUGCAGUGGCGGCUUCGCGGUUAUCCGAUCAGCCAGAGCGUAUGGGGACUUUCUCUCUGUCACACGCCCGCGGCGCUGACCGACGCCUGUCGACCUUUAUUCAUCUUUUUCUCGGUUGACCUCGGAUCAGGUAGGGAUACCCGCUGAACUUAAGC